rnacentral:lncRNA from 1 species
UUCCCAAAUAUUUCAGAUUGUGUUCCAAAAUAUUCUAGAUUGCGUUCCAAAUUAUUUUAGCAAAACUUGGGGACUAAGAAAGCACUUUCUAAUAAUGAUUAAAUUAAUUAUUUAAUUUAUCAUUUCCAAAUAAUAAAAUAUAUAUCAGUAUAUAUUUUUUUUCUCAGUGCUUACUUCGUUCACAUAACUAUGUACCUCUUAGAGGUACACCCCCACUAUAUAAACACUACUAAUGUGUGUGUUCCAUCCGAUGUGGGACUUCCACUUUUUCAAUUCACACAACACUAGUUCUACCCAACAUGGGAAUUUGUGUUUAGUCUUUUUAACUCAAUUUCCACACAUGUUCCAACAAUCCCCCACUUGAAUUUAAAAAAUGGUUUCAAAAAUAACGUCAAAGACAUCUCCAUAAGAUUUGCUAGUAAACAAAGGUGUCGCCUACAACUUGAACCUCUGCAUAGCGG